rnacentral:misc_RNA from 1 species
UGGCUCCAGCAUCGAUGAAGAACGCAGCGAAAUGCGAUAAGUAAUGUGAAUUGCAGAAUUCAGUGAAUCAUCGAGUCUUUGAACGCACAUUGCGCCUCCCGGCAUUCCGGAGGGCAUGCCUGUUCGAGCGUCAUUACACCCCUCAAGCCUCGCUUGGUGUUGGGCGGCAGUCUCCCCGAGACCCGCCCGGAAUCUAGCGGCUUUGUCGUCCACCUUCGAGCGCAUUAAGUCUAACUCGCUUCCGGAGUGUGGGCGGCCGAAGCCGGUGAAGUAGGUGUCUAGCACCCGACAAUUGACCUCGGAUCAGGUAGGAAUACCCGCUGA